rnacentral:ncRNA from 1 species
UAAUUGAAGAGUUUGAUCAUGGCUCAGAUUGAACGCUGGCGGCAGGCCUAACACAUGCAAGUCGAGCGGCAGCGGAAGGAAGCUUGCUUCCUUGCCGGCGAGCGGCGGACGGGUGAGUAAUGUCUGGGGAUCUGCCCGAUGGAGGGGGAUAACUACUGGAAACGGUAGCUAAUACCGC